GCCACAGCCAUCUCCGUCUCUCUCCCUCUGUUCAAGAAAAAAAAAAUAUAGCAAAAACAUGAGCUUUUCUCUCAGUCCCUGGUUCUGCACAAUCCCUCCACCUUUACUGCUUUAAUCUCCAGAAAGAUCUUGCGUCGCUUUACUUUCUUUUCAUUCUUUUCUCGAUGGGUUUCUAGGAAAAUGAAACAGUCAUUUACUUUGCUCAUGCAAAUACUGUUUUUAU
rnacentral:misc_RNA from 1 species